rnacentral:rRNA from 1 species
AGAGAGAGACAUGCGCGCAUAUCAAUAAGCGGAGGAAAAGAAACUAACUAGGAUUCCCUUAGUAACGGCGAGUGAAGCGGGAAGAGCUCAAAUUUGAAAUCUUCAAGGUUUUACCUUGACGAAUUGUAGUUUAAAGAAGUGUUUUCUGCUGGAGUUUUGGUAAAAGUUCUUUGGAAUAGGACAUCAUAGAGGGUGAGAAUCCCGUAUUUGACCAUUAUUUUCAGCUUUGUGAUACACUUUCAAAGAGUCGGAUUGUUUGGGAAUGCAGUCCAAAAUGGGUGGUAAAUUUCAUCUAAAGCUAAAUAUUGGCGAGAGACCGAUAGCGAACAAGUACCGUGAGGGAAAGAUGAAAAGAACUUUGAAAAGAGAGUUAAACAGUACGUGAAAUUGUCAAAAGGGAAGCGUUUGACACCAGUGUUGUUUUCUCGAAAAUCAAUUAAAAAUGGCUCGAUUUUGUAUUGUUGAGACCUUAAAAGCUCACUGUACAUUUUUCGUGUCUUUUUUAAUGCACUUUUCGUUUAACAAGUCAACAUCAGUUUCUUUUGUUGUAAAAGGGUCAUUGGAAGGUGGCUUUCUUUUCGGAGAAAGUGUUUAUAGCCUUUGGCCUCUGCAAUCGGAGAGACUGAGGUCUGCAGCGUAGACUCUUCGGGGUUAGAUACAUUUGUGCUAAGUUAUAGCCUUUUCAUAGACAACUUGUUGACUAUGAUUAGUCAUUGUAGCUUACUCGCUUAUGCUAUUUUACCUACGCUUAGGAUGUUGAGUCGUAGAGCACGCAG